UGGGGAAUAUUGCACAAUGGGCGCAAGCCUGAUGCAGCCAUGCCGCGUGUGUGAAGAAGGCCUUCGGGUUGUAAAGCACUUUCAGCGGGGAGGAAGGCGGUGAGGUUAAUAACCUCAUCGAUUGACGUUACCCGCAGAAGAAGCACCGGCUAACUCCGUGCCAGCAGCCGCGGUAAUACGGAGGGUGCAAGCGUUAAUCGGAAUUACUGGGCGUAAAGCGCACGCAGGCGGUCUGUCAAGUCGGAUGUGAAAUCCCCGGGCUCAACCUGGGAACUGCAUUCGAAACUGGCAGGCUAGAGUCUUGUAGAGGGGGGUAGAAUUCCAGGUGUAGCGGUGACAUGCGUAGAGAUCUGGAGGAAUACCGGUGGCGAAGGCGGCCCCCUGGACAAAGACUGACGCUCAGGUGCGAAAGCGUGGGGAGCAAACAGG
rnacentral:rRNA from 1 species